CAACACCAUGUUGAUAGUAAAUCGACAAAAAAAAAUGGCGGCUCACUAAAUACAGGCUUGCAGUAACUUCAGCAAGCAUUGUGAAGAUGUAGACCUUGUCCAAGCUGCAGUUUAACUUUGUUAAAUUUUGUUUUCUACAAUGAGUGGUCCCACAAAGUUGGUUUCAGAUGCCAGUCCUAAGACGGUUACAGUCACCCAACCAGAACUAGUAGUGAUUAAUUUGUCUGAAGACUGUAUGGUAACAAAAUCAGUGGACAAUGUUGGUUCCAAGAAAGUUGUCUGCAAACAGCCUCAUCUAAAAAAAAAGUCCUCUGGAACCAAAUCCCAAGUUAGAACUGAAUCUCCAGCUGGAGCCAAAUCCCAUGAAAAGUCAGAGAUGAAAAUGGCAUGCUGUACCUGCCUUAAUUGCUGUAUUGAUAGCACAGAUGAUUGUACCCUGCUGCUAGGGGUAGUUUGCUGCUGUUGUCUUUUGCAUAACGAGUAGACUCAAUCAACUGUUUGAACUUAGCCAGCAAUAUUAUGUGAUGGUUGUAACCUUUGAUUGGGACAACAAAUCUAUUGAAUGAUCCCAAGACUGGCGUCUGCUAGAGUUGUGGUACUGCUGUUUGAUAGAGAACAUAAAUGCUCAACUAGUGACUACAGUGUGGAUGAAUGGCUUCACUAACAUACUAUUGAUGAAACCUUCAAAAAAAGAUUUUUAUUCUGCACCAAAUAUAAAAUGUUUUUUUGAAACUAUAAAACAUAUAAGCAAUAACUCCAGUGGCGGACAAAUAUAUUAAUCACUAUUGAAUUGUUUCCCUGGAAAGUGGGCUGCCUCCUUGUAAAAACAAAUAUUCUUGCCACUAGUAAUAUCAUAGUCUAUAGCUUUCUGAGUUUCGCAGAUAGUGUAAAAAUAUUUUAUCUGUGCUUUUUAGUUAAAGCAUGAUUCUCUUUGUCUAUUGUGUAUCUGACAUUAUAUAAAAGGCGGUUAAUUUUGAUGCAACUCGUGAUCUAGUUAAAAUUUUUACAUCUGUUGUUUUACACUUAUUUAUAAACUGUACCCUAAAGGCUAUGUAAUCAAGCUACUAGUUAAUAAACUCCAAAGUUUGACCAGAAGAAAAGUGACAGCUUUUUGUUGAAACUGAUUUUAUUUUCUUUAUGUUUUGAGUAAAAAUGUAUAAAUAUUUUACCGGUGUAUAAUUGAUUUUCCCCCCUGUGUUUAAUAAAUAAAAAACAAUGUGAUAAAAUAAUUUAUUAAAGAAGAAACUUUGCAUGAACAUGUUAGUUUUUCUGUUUUUGUUUUUUUAAAAAUGAUUCUCAAAUAUUGGUAUAUUGCACAAUUUUAGCUAAUUUUGACUUAUUUUUUUGUUUACACUAGAUGUCUACAUUUAAUAACAUGUUUUUAUUGACAUGUAUUUAUUGACACUAGUUGCUUAUAUUUAUGAGACAUUUGUCAUAUAGUCAGCUCACUCUGCAAGCUUUGUACUUCUUUUACUACUUGUAGUCUCAUUUUGCCAUGUAAUAAAGUUAUUUGUAGAAACAAAUGCAUCUAUUGAUGUCCAAUUCUACUUCCAUCUCUUGUUAAAGUUAUGCAACAAACAUUUUUUUUUAUGGCUUCCUUUAUGCUGAUAGACUGAGUUUUAAAAAAUGUAUAGUGAAAAAAAAAAAAGCUUUUAUAAUGAAAUGUGUUAUGAGGUACCGUACUAGAUUGGUUUCAGAGGCUGUGAAUUAAAUGGCUUUAGAGGAUACUGGUUGCAAACAGUUAAGUUUUCAAACAAAAAUUGGAGGCAGGGAAUAAAACAACAACUCAAUAUAGUGUUCCAGAACCACCCUUGGUAACCAAUAAUCUGUAAUGUAGAAAUAAUAUAUUUAUUUAUGCAUUUAUACAUUAUAUUAAGGCUUUAUACCCGCUCCCCUCUUAGCUUUUAUGCUGCAUAAACCUAGGUAGGCUACUGUGCUGUACAUACGUACAAAAUAUCAUCACAGUGGUCUGGUCAGUAAAUGUUAGCACAGCUAACAAUUGUUCAGUAAAUAAAAGAACAAACAUAUUGUAGAUAUUAACCAUUUACUGUAAUUCAUAUCUAUUUUAUUAUUUAUAACAUUUCUUUAUUGUUAGAAUUAAUAUUAGUAAUAUAUUUUUUUAUACAUGGGAUUUUUUCAUGUAAAAAUACAUAAAAUAUAUUUAUUUUCAACCAUUUGAAUUUUGCAGAAAUCCGCCAAAAAAAAAAGCAAAGAUCCCUGAAUGAUUUUUCCCUUUAAUUAGUUUCUUAUUAAAACUAAACAAAAAAAGUGAAACUGCAAAAGCUGAAGCAGGAAGUGACAAAGGAUCACUGUGUCUUUUCCUGUAUAACUUGAUGUUGGCAGACCAGUGUUGCAAUUGAGUUUCUAGUCAUUGUUUUAAAUACCCUGUCUAAUGAUGAGUUCCACAUAUCUAUACUCUCAUGAUACUUGGGGUUAUUUCUGUGUGAAAAAAAGAUUUUUUUUUUUAAGCUCUGUACAUCUUGAGUAACUAUCAUUCUAAGUAUUUUACCCCUGAUGAUAUAGAACUAGAAUAUUUUUUUUUAUUAGUUCUUUUCAUAAUUGAAACCCUAAAAGAUAAAGUUUUAUGGUUGUUACCUUGACUAACUGAUUUGAUAACUAUUUAGUCUUUAUCUAUAUUUGAAAUGUGCCUAGAGUUUUUUUCCAGGUGUCGUCACACUUUUCAACAAAGCUGAAUUCACUGAAACCUUUUAAAACUGUGUCUUGGUUAAGGGCCGCCAUUGAAAGUUUAAGCCUUUGACACGUUAUACAUAUACCACACCUGGAACCAUUCAAUCUGUCCUUAUAACUGUAUAGCCCCAUAACAGGAACCUGUUCAGUGAUACCAGAUAGUUUUGGUACUUAUAGAUUUGGUCUCAAUGUAUGUAUGUAUAUAUAUAUGCACAUUAUAUACAUGCACUGCAUAAAUUAUCUCGUAUAGAGUACAAUCAUAGUGUUUGAAACUUUUGUGUACACAUCUACAUACAAAUACACAUAUAUAUAUAUAUAAGUUUCAGACCUUUUUGUAGAUUGGGUUUUGUUCACAGAUCAACUUCUAUUUUAUGACUAGUUUGUAUUAAGAUUCAUUGAAUUUUUUGGUUGUAUCUGUGGCUAGUCCAUCCCAACCUUCAUCCUCCCUCUGCCUUUCAUUUUUCUGGGUUUUUUUCCAUGUCAAGAAUGUUGCUUACUUAAUGCCUAUCUACGCAAAGAUUUUUGAUCACUAUAAGUAGUACUGAAAGAUAACCUAUGUUUGUGUGUUAACUUUCAGAUGUAUAAAAUACCUUAAAUCAGUAUCUUUUGUAAUUCGAGUAUAAAUGUCUUUAUCUUUAAAAAAGUAGUGCCAGGUUAUAGCAAUAAUAUUGUAAUAUGGGGACUGCCCCAAAUGUUAGCAAACACUAAACAUGUUUUGGUUUUCAUGCUUUAUCUCAUAAUCAAAAUGUUUAGUCUAUGGCAGAAAAGACCACAAAAAAAAAAAUCGAUUUUCCAAAAUACUUUGGAACAAAUUUUAUUAAUUUUUUUUUCAUUUUUUUUUUAAAUACAUAGAUUCCAUAAUUUCAAUGUGUAUUUUGUCAUUUCAAUUGUUUAACAUUUAGAGCUUGAAUAAUGUUACAAAUGUAUUUUUGUAAUGUUCUGUUUUGAAUUGAUGUAGGUCUUACUUGUGAUAAAUAUACAGAUUGGCACGUUUUGUUGUACUGAAUAAUUCAAUCUAAAGUUAUAGAUACUGUCCCAUCUUUGUGUAUUUUUUGGUGCUAGUGUCUAUUUCACUGGUUCUGUUGAGAAUAUCUUUUUCAUCGGUUUCUAUCCUAAUAACUUUCUAUAUCAAAAAACAAUUUUUCUGUCUUGUGUUUGUACAUUCUAGCAGACAUUAACCUUUUCAAUUUUUUAGACGUCAAAGAAAAUGUGGUUAUUGUAAACAGAAUUACCAACAGAAAAUACUAAAUAUUUUGUAUAAUAAGCCUGUCAACUCAUAUGUUUAAUUUCCUUCUUUUAUUGUCCCGUCCUUUUCCUUUUAUCUACUUCUAGUAACCAAAUGCCUUCAUAUAAUCCCCAUGGCUGCUUUAAUAUCUAUUUAUAUAACUGACCUUUUUAUAUAGUUGUUUUUCAUUUAAUAUAUAUAUUUUUUAAUUGGCAUUUACUAAUAUACAUGCCUUAUUUGGGCACAAUGAGAGUUAUAUGUUCUUUGACUCUACAAGUCUCUAGCAAAAUUUGUAUUGUUUUCUGAAAGGCUUGCAUAUUUUAAUUUACAGAAUUUGACAGAUAUUUUAUUGAUAUAUUUUAUUGUGCACAAUCUCAAUAGUCAUGUAGCUUAAAGUUAUUUUCUGCACCUGUUGUAUCAUUCAAGGCAAUAAAAGAGCCAACUGAA